GACGAACGCUGGCGGCGUGCCUAAUACAUGCAAGUCGAACGCAGUGGGGACGGGUGAGUAACACGUGGGUAACCUCCCAUCAGAGGGGAUAACACUUGGAAAAAGGUGCUAAACCGAUACUGAUGGAUGGACCCGCUGUGCAUUAGCUAGUGGGUGAGGUAACGGCUAACCAAGGCCACGAUGCAUAGCGGAGCUGAGCGGGGGAUCGGCCACACUGGGACUGGUACACGGCACAGACGCCUACGGGAGGCAGCAGUAGGGAAUCUUCGGCAAUGGGCGAAAGUCUGACCGAGCAACGCCGCGUGAGUGAAGAAGGUUUUCGGAUCGUAAAACUCUGUUGUUAGAGAAGCGGUAUCUAACCAGAAAGCCACGGCUAACUACGUGCCAGCAGCCGCGGUAAUAC
rnacentral:rRNA from 1 species